rnacentral:lncRNA from 1 species
CAUUUAAAACGACACACUUCUAAUAUUUCCUCCCUAUUUUUUUCCUUAUAUUUCUCUUGAUGUUUUUAUGCCUCAACUUACUUGUCCAGACAAUUCAAUGCUAAGAGAGGUAUCGAGUAUAAGUUUGGCUUCUUUCCAUUUCAUUGAUUUAAGAUGACUAUCAAAUUGGCCAAGCAAACUGAGAUUUACAUGAAGAUUGUUCCGGAUAUCAAGCUCUACGUCUUCGCGUGGUCUUUCUUACCAUUAUCUGAAAGAUACUUAGAGUCACCAUAUUUUCUAGUCUAACUUACUACUCCAAUUACCAUGUACCUCGAGAUACUAAAAUUUUGUAUUGGUCAUUUGGCCAGGUGGCAGCCCCAUAACCCUAGCCGCAGAGGAGAAGAAGAACCUGCCCAACUAUAACCACACGGGAGGAGAAGAGGAAGGGAAGGGCAAAAGAAAGAAGAUGAUUGAAAGAAAAUAAGAAAUAAAAAAGGAAAGGGAAAAGAAGAAGGAAAAAGUGGAGAAAAAUUAAACAAGGUAAAAAUAGAAGAGAGAGCGUCCAAGCGUGUAAAUUUAAUUUUGACCUU